rnacentral:rRNA from 1 species
GUAGGUGGCAAGCGUUGUCCGGAAUUAUUGGGCGUAAAGCGCGCGCAGGCGGUUCUUUAAGUCUGAUGUGAAAGCCCACGGCUCAACCGUGGAGGGACAUUGGAAACUGGAGAACUUGAGUACAGAAGAGGAAAGCGGAAUUCCACGUGUAGCGGUGAAAUGCGUAGAGAUGUGGAGGAACACCAGUGGCGAAGGCGGCUUUCUGGUCUGUAACUGACGCUGAGGCGCGAAAGCGUGGGGAGCAAACAGGGAUUAGAUACCCUGGUAGUCCACGCCGUAAACGAUGAGUGCUAAGUGUUAGGGGGUUUCCGCCCCCUUAGUGCUGCAGCUAACGCAUUAAGCACUCCGCCUGGGGAGUACGGCCGCAAGGCUG